UACGUAGGGGGCGAGCGUUGUCCGGAUUUAUUGGGCGUAAAGAGCUCGUAGGCGGUUUGGUAAGUUGGAUGUGAAAUCUCCAGGCUCAACUUGGAGGGGUCAUUCGAUACUGCCAUGACUAGAGUUCGGUAGGGGAGUGUGGAAUUCCUGGUGGAGCGGUGAAAUGCGCAGAUAUCAGGAAGAACACCCGUGGCUAAGGCGGUUCUCUAGUACGGUACUGACGCUGAGACGCGAAAGCGUGGGGAGCGAACAGG
rnacentral:rRNA from 1 species